UAAGUGCAGGAAAAGAAACCAAAUGGGAUUCCCUCAGUAACGGCGAGUGAAGUGGGAUCAGCUCAGCACCGAAGCCGGCCGUCGAGAGGUGGUCGUGCAAUGUGGUGUUCGGGAGGGCUCUGUCCGAGUCCGGCUUUGGUCCAAGUCUCCUGGAAAGGAGUUCCAUGGAGGGUGACAGGCCCGUGCGACCAAUAGCCGUGUUCGCGGACGAGUCCUCUUUCGAGUCGGGUUGUUCGCUAAUGCAGCCCUAAGCAGGUGGUAAGCUCCAUCUAAGGCUAAAUAUAACCACGAGUCCGAUAGUCAACAAGUACAGUGAUGGAAAGUUGAAAAGUACUCUGAAGAGAGAGUCAAAUAGCCCGUGAAGCUGCCAGUAUGGGAUUAAGCGCACGUGCGGCGCGUGUCGUCGGACAAAUAGGCGACUGUUGUGCGUACGGCGUGUACGGUGUGCGUCCUGAUCGGGCGUGCAUUGUGCGUGCACAUGUGUGCGUGCCACAGAACGCUUCCCUUUGUUCGGCAUUGACAGGUCGGGGCUUCGUUGUCACACACAGGUCUUACUGCCGACAGUGAUCCAUAGAGCCGGACUGGGCGGUCGUCAACUUCGGUCGGCGACCGUGCUCCGCUGAAUGUGGUCCUUUGCGGACGCAGCGGCUGGUCUGGUCUACGGUGUAAUGCUGUCGCGUGCGCGAACGACCGGGCGACGGCCAACGCAUUCGAAUCUCACGAUUCGGCUCGACCUUUGCGCUGUCACGUGCGGCCCGUCUUGAAACACGGACCAAGGAGUCUAACAUGUGAGCGAGCGAUUGAGAUUGUCGAAUCUCAAACGCGCAAUGAAAGUGAAGUGUCGUCUGACGGCACGAGCGGUGAUCUGACGCCACUUGUGGCGGCAGCGCAACCGCGGGCCGCGCCAUGGGCUGGCUUGCUUUUCGGAGCACUGCUCAGGCGCGGACCUAGAGCCCACACGUUGGGACCCGAAAGAUGGUGAACUAUGCCUGGUCAGGAUGAAGCCAGAGGAAACUCUGGUGGAGGUCCGCCGCGAUUCUGACGUGCAAAUCGAUCGUCUGAACUGGGUAUAGGGGCGAAAGACCAAUCGAACCAUCUAGUAGCUGGUUCCGCCCGAAGUUUCCCUCAGGAUAGCUGGCGCUUGUCUGAUACGGAGUUUCAUCCGGUAAAGCGAAUGAUUAGAGGAGCUGGGGUCCUUGCGACCUCAACCUAUUCUCAAACUUUCAAUGGGUGAGACGUCUCGCUGGCUUCAGUGCAGCGACGACUCUGAAUCCGAGUGCCCAGUGGGCCACUUUUGGUAAGCAGAACUGGCGAUGCGGGAUGAACCGCAUGUCGAGUUAAGGUGCCUAAGCGGACGCAAAUCAGAUACCAUGAAAGGUGUUGAUUGCUCACGACAGCAGGACGGUGGCCAUGGAAGUCGGCAUCCGCUAAGGAGUGUGUAACAACUCACCUGCCGAAGCAAUCAGCCCUGAAAAUGGAUGGCGCUAAAGCGUUCCACCGAUACUCGACCGUCGUCGGCAUGCGACGGACUUGCUCCGUCUGACGCCACGACGAGUAGGGCGGCGCGGCGGUGAGCGUUGAAGGCGUGACCGUGAGGUCAGCUGGAGCCGCCGUCGGUGCAGAUCUUGGUGGUAGUAGCAAAUACACAAGCAAGAUCCUUGUGGACCGAUGUGGAGAAGGGUUCCGCGCGAACAGUAUUUGGACGUGGGUGAGUCGGCCCUAAGCCAACGGGUAAUUCCCGCAUCCCGAUGUGUUCACCAUUAUUGCAUUGAAUACAACGGGUUGAUGGCGAAAGGGA
rnacentral:rRNA from 1 species